rnacentral:rRNA from 1 species
GCUGCAGUAUAUUGACUGUACAAAGGUAGCAUAAUCAUUAGUUUUUUAAUUGAAAGCUGGAAUGAAUGGCUUAAUAAGGAAGUUGCUGUCUCAUUUUAAUUAAUUAGAAUUUUAUUUUUAAGUUAAAAAGCUUAAAUUUUAUAGAAAGACGAGAAGACCCUAUAGAGUUUAAUAAAUUAGUAUUUUGAUUAUUUUAGGAUUUUAAUUUAAUUUUAAUAUAAUUUAUUUGGUUGGGGUGACAUUAGAAUUUGAUAAACUUCUUGUUUUUAUUACAUUAAUAAGUGAGCUAAUGAUCCUGUUUUUUGGAUUAAAAGAUUAAAUUACCUUAGGGAUAACAGCGUAAUUUUUUUGGAGAGUUCUAAUCGAUAAAAAAGGUUGCGACCUCGAUGUUGGAUUAAAGUAUAAUUUUGGUGCAGAAGCUGAAAUUUUA